rnacentral:rRNA from 1 species
UGGUGGAGUGAUUUGUCUGGUUAAUUCCGAUAACGAACGAGACCUUAACCUGCUAACUAGUCACGUUUAGCAUUGCUAGACGGCAGUACUUCUUAGAGGGACUAUCUGUUUUUAGCAGAUGGAAGCAUGAGGCAAUAACA